rnacentral:tRNA from 1 species
GGGGAUUUAGCUCAGUGGUAGAGCGCUUGCCUAGCAAGCACAAGGCCCUGGGUUCGGUCCCCAGCCCUG